GGUGGCACAGUGGUUAAAGCAGUUGGCUGAUAACCAAAAUGUCGGUGGUUCGAACCCACCAGCCA
rnacentral:tRNA from 1 species